AGCACUUCUGACGGUAUCAGCAAAACCUUUGUAUCUGCAUACUGAUAGAAUUUUUUUCUAAAAAAAGAUCAAAUAUAUACUUACUGUCAUUCAUGUAUGAUUUCUGAAUGUGGUAGAAAAUUAGAACUUCUCAUGCCAUCUCAUAUAUGAAUGCCAAAUUUCAUCUCAUUUAUAUUUUCUCUCAUGACUAUUAUAUGCAUUUUGUAGAAAUAUAAUAUUUGAUGUUGUAUUUCAUAAUAAAGAUUGCAACCUAUUUAUAUAUAAAAGACGUAUCUAAACAUGAAAGAAAAUCAAAUCUAUAAUUAUACAAUCCCUAAGAUUAAGCAACUAACUCAUCUAUCAAUAUUUACUUCCUAUAAUCUAUAACACUCCCUCUCAAGUUGGAGCAUAAAUGUUAAUCAUGCCCAACUUGUUACAUAUAUAAUCAACUCGUCUCAUACAACUUAACUUAACAGACACCGAAUUUGUAAACCCAACUUCUUCCAAUAAUUGACGUACCCACAAAAUUUCACAACGGUUUUUGCCAUGACUUGACAUUUAGAUUCAGCACUAGAACGGGAGACCACAUUUUCUCAGCUUGGUAAAACGCCUUACUGAGAAUUUCGAAUCCGUGAACAGUACUCGUGACUUGUGAACAAUACCCUAUGAACAGUACUCGUGAACAGUACCCGAGGAACAGUAUUCGUGAACAGUACCCCUAGAAACAGUACCCCGAUGAACAGUACUCAUGAACAGUACCCGAUGAAUAAUUCCCGUGAACAAUACCUGAUGAACAGAGCCCUAAGUCUCCAAAUGUUACCCUUUAUGAGUAACUCAAAUGAAUAGAGCCCUUUAUGAGUAACCCAAAUGAAUAGAGCCCUACGUGAGUAACCCAAAUGAACAGAGCCCUAAGUCUCUAAAUGUUACCCUUUGUGAAUAACCCAAAUGAACAGAGCCCUAAGUCUCCAAAUGUUACUCUUUAUGAGUAACCCAAAUGAACAGAUCCAAAUGUUACUCUUUAUGAGUAACUCAAAUGAACAUAUCCAAAUGUUACUCUUUAUGAGUAACCCAAAUGAACAGAGCGCUACGUCUCCAAAUGUUAUCCUUGAGUAACCCAAAUGAACAAGUCCUAAGUCUCCAAAUGUUACCUUUUAUGAGUAACCCAAAUGAACAGAGCCCUAAGUUUCCAAAUGUUACUUUUUUAUGGGUAACCCAAAUAAACAGAGCCCUAAGUCUCCAAAAGUUACUCUAAAAGUUAUUCUUUAUGGGUAACCCAAAUGAAUAGUAUCAAAAAGACGCCUUCACCCAAUACCCAAACGGCAAACGAACCACAAAUCUAACAAGUGAGCUGCAAGGCGACUUUGGCUUUGGCAUCCUCUCUAGGUGAACAGGUGAACAGUGAGAGACAAAUAUUAUUCUAGAUGGAUAACACAAAAGAACAGGAGUCCUGAGUCUCCAAAAAUUUAAAACUUGACGAGAGAGAAAAUAAAUCUUUACAAAUAUGGCUCUGAUACCAUGUAGAAAUAUAAUAUUUGAUGUUGUAUUUCAUAAUAAAGAUUGCAACCUAUUUAUAUAUAAAAGACGUAUCUAAACAUGAAAGAAAAUCAAAUCUAUAAUUAUACAAUCCCUAAGAUUAAGCAACUAACUCAUCUAUCAAUAUUUACUUCCUAUAUUAAUAUAUUUACUUCCUAAAAUCUAUAACACAUUUAUAAAGAUGACAUUUUUAAGUAUAAUAUAGGCAGCUUAUGCCUGUGAAAGUAUAAAAAUAUUCAGUGCCCGUUUUCAUACAGUGGGGCAUGAGCACCCUACAGCCAGAUUUAAAUUCUUAU
rnacentral:lncRNA from 1 species